GUGGGGAAUAUUGGACAAUGGGCGCAAGCCUGAUCCAGCCAUGCCGCGUGUGUGAAGAAGGCCUUUUGGUUGUAAAGCACUUUAAGCGAGGAGGAGGCUACUUGGAUUAAUACUCUAGGAUAGUGGACGUUACUCGCACAAUAAGCACCGGCUAACUCUGUGCAAGCAGCCGCGGUAAUACAGAGGGUGCGAGCGUUAAUCGGAUUUACUGGGCGUAAAGCGUGCGUAGGCGGCUUCUUAAGUCUGAUGUGAAAUCCCUGAGCUUAACUUAGGAAUUGCAUUCGAUACUGGGAAGCUAGAGUAUGGGAGAGGAUGGUAGAAUUCCAGGUGUAGCGGUGAAAUGCGUAGAGAUCUGGAGGAAUACCGAUGGCGAAGGCAGCCAUCUGGCCUAAUACUGACGCUGAGGUACGAAAGCAUGGGGAGCAAACAGGAUUAGAAACCCUUGUAGUCC
rnacentral:rRNA from 1 species